GAUCCUGUGGUGUAGUGGUUAUCACAUCGUUCUUAUAGCAGCUCUGCAAAGUGCUACUCAUGUCAUGCGAAUGUCCCGGGUUCAAUCCCCGGCAGGAUCA
rnacentral:tRNA from 1 species